AAUAAUGCAUUUUUCUUUGAAAUAUUUAUCAGAAACCUGUUUGAAAGCUUUUCUGCACAAAGAAACUCAUCAUUUGGAGUGUGCUUGAGGAACUUUCAAUGUCCAGAAGAAGAUCAGUACUCGUUGCAUAUAAAUUGUGGUGGAAAACGAACCACCAUUGAAGGAGUCACCUUUGAAGAUGAUCAAGACCCAGGAGGUGCAGCA